GAUGAACGCUGGCGGCGUGCCUAAUACAUGCAAGUCGAGCGAACGGACGAGAAGCUUGCUUCUCUGAUGUUAACGGCGGACGGGUGAGUAACACGUGGAUAACCUACCUAUAAGACUGGGAUAACUUCGGGAAACCGGAGCUAAUACCGGAUAAUAUUUUGAACCGCAUGGUUCAAAAGUAAAAGACGGUCUUGCUGUCACUUAUAGAUGGAUCCGCGCUGCAUUAGCUAGUUGGUAAGGUAACGGCUUACCAAGGCAACGAUGCAUAGCCGACCUGAGAGGGGGAUCGGCCACACUGGAACUGAGACACGGUCCAGACUCCUACGGGAGGCAGCAGUAGGGAAUCUUCCGCAAUGGCGAAAGCCUGACGGAGCAACGCCGCGUGAGUGAUGAAGGUCUUCGGAUCGUAAAACUCUGUUAUUAGGGAAGAACAUAUGUGUAAGUAACUGUGCACAUCUUGACGGUACCUAAUCAGAAAGCCACGGCUAACUACGUG
rnacentral:rRNA from 1 species